ensembl:lncRNA
CUCACAAGCUUCAUCACCAGAAUUAAAACCAUCAUCAACUACAUCUUUAAUACACUCAAUAAAACAAUCCUCAUCAUCUUCAUCAUCCUCAUCAAUCCCACUAUUGUCAUCAUCUUUAAUACUAUCAUCUGCAUCAUCUACAUCACAAACAUUAUCAUCAUCAUCAUCGAAAACAUCUUCCAUACUAUUAUCCACACCAUCCACAUCAGUCCCACUAUCAUCAACAACCUCACAAGCAACGCCCUCAAUAUCAACAACCUCUACAUUAUCUUCCACAUCCUUAAAAUCAUCAGCAAACUCACAGCCUUCAUCACCAUCCCCACCAACAUUAACAUCAUCAACAACAUCUUCAAUACUAUCAUUUACACCAUCAUCAUUUUCAACAUCUUUAUCAGUCCCACUAUUGUCAACAUCACCACCAUCAUCUUCUUCAACAUUAUCAUCUACAACAUUUUCAUCAUCUUCACAAUCUUCAUCAUUAACAUUACCAUCAUNAUACUAUCAUUUACACCAUCAUCAUUUUCAACAUCUUUAUCAGUCUCACUAUUGUCAACCUCAUCAUCUUCAACACUAUCAUCUACACCAUCUUCACCAACAUUACCAUCACCUUUAACAUCAACAUCGCCAUCUUCAAUACUUUCAGCUACUCCAUAUUCAUCAUCCUCAGCCUCAUCUUCAUCAGUCUCACUAUCAUCAUCAACCCAGCCAAAACAGCCUUCAACAUCAGCAACCUCUACAUCAUUGUCCUCAUCAUUAACAUCAUCAGCAAUCUCACAGCCUUCAUCACCAUCCCUACCUUCUUCAACAACACCGUUAUCCUCAACAUCUUUAAUACUGUCACCUACACAAAACUCAUCAUCUUCAACAUCCUCAGCUGCAACUCCAUCAGUCCCACUACUGUUGUCAUCAUCAUCUGCAACAUUAUCAUCUAGACCUUCUUCAUCACCAACUUUACAAUCACCUUUAUCAUCAACACCACCAUCUUCAAUACUAUCAACUUCUCCAACUUCAUCAUCCUCAGUCUCAUCCUCAUCAGUCCCACUAUCAUCAUCAACCCAAUUAAAACAGCUCUCAUCAUCAGUAACCUCUACAUCAUUGUCCUCAUCAUUACCAUCAUCAGCAAAUUCACAGCGAUCAUCGUCAUCCCCACCAUCUUCACCACCAACAUUAACAUCUUCAAAAAUAUCAUCUAUACCAUCUUCAUCGUCUUUGCCAUCCUCAAUACCAUCAUCAUCAGUCCCACUAUUGAGAACUUCAUCUUCAACACUAUCUUCAUCAUCUACAACAUUUUUAGCGACAUCUUCAUCAGUCCCACUAUCAUCAUCUACACCAUCUUCAUCAGUCCCAGUAUUGUCAACAUUAUCAUUGCCAUCAUCAACAUUGUUAUUUACACCAUCUUCAUCAUCUUCUCUAUCUCCAUUAUCAACAACAUCUUCAAUAUCAUCUACACUACCUUCACCAUCUUCAUCAAUCCUACUAUCACCAUCAACCUCACCAGCACAUCCCUCAGUAUUAACAAGCUCUACAAUAUCUUCCACAUCCUUACCAUCAUCAGCAAACCUGCAGCAAUCAUCACCAUCCCCACCAACAUUAACAUCUUUAACAACAUCUUCAGUACUGUCAUUUACACCAUCCACACCAUCAUCUGAACCAUCUUUAUCAGUCCCACCAUCAUCAUCAUCUACACUAUCUUCAUUAUCUUCACCAUUUUCGUCAAUACCACUAUCAUCAUCAACCCCACCAUCACAGACCUCAUUUUCAGGAACCACUACAUUAUCCUUCUCAUCCCUACCAUUAUCAACAAGCUCCCAGCCUAACUCACCAUCCCCACUAUCUUCAUCACCAACAUUAACAUCAGCAUCAACAAUACUUUCAACACAAUCAUCUACAACAUCACCAUCAUCUUCAGCACCACUAUCAUUGCAAUCAUUAUCAACCCUUCCAGCGCAGCCCUCACUAUCAACAACUUCUGCAGCAUUUUUAUCAUCCUUAUCAUCAUCAGCUAACUCACAAGCUUCAUCACCAGAAUUAAAACCAUCAUCAACUACAUCUUUAAUACAAUCAAUAAAACAAUCCUCAUCAUCUUCACCAUCCUCAUCAAUCCCACUACUGUCAUCAUCUUUAACACUAUCAUCUGCAUCAUCUACAUCACCAGUAUUAUCAUCAUCAUCAUCAUCAUCAUCAUCAUCAAAAACAUCUUCAAUACUAUUAUCCACACCAUCCUCAUCAGUCCCACUAUCAUCAUCAACCUCAGAAGCAAAGCUCUCAUCAGCAAACUCACAGCCUUCAUCACCAUCCCCACCAACAUUAACAUCAUCAACAGCAUCUUCAAUACUAUCAUUUACUCCAUCUAAACCAUCAUCUGCUCCAUCUUCAUCAGUCCCACCUUCAUCAUCAUCUACACCAUCUUCACCAUCCUCGGCACCAUCAUUAUCAGUUCCACUAUUGUCAUCACCAUCACAACCAUCAUCUUCAACAUUAUCAUCUACACCAUUUUCAUCAUCUUCACAAUCUUCAUCAUUAACAUUACCAUCAUCUUCAUCCACAUCCUCAAUACUAUCAUCUACACUAUCUUCAUCAUCUUCAUCAAUCCCACUAUCAUCGUCAACCUCACCAGCACAGUCCUUACUAUCAACACCUACAUUAUCUUCCACAUCAUUACCAUCAUCAGUAAACUCGCAGCCUUCAUCACCAUCCCCAUCAUCUUCAUCACCAACAUUAACAUCAACAUCUUCAAUAUUAUCAUUUACACCAUUAUCAUUUUCAACAUCUUUAUCAGUCCCACUAUUGUCAACAUCAUCAUCUUCAACACUAUCAUCUACACCAUCUUCACCAACAUUACCAUCACCUUUAUCAUCAACACCGCCAUCUUCAAUACUAUCAACUACUCCAUAUUCAUCAUCCUCAGCCUCAUCUUCAUCAGUCUCACUAUCAUCAUCAACCCAACCAAAACAACCUUUAACAUCAGCAACCUCUACAUCAUUUUCCUCAUCAACAUCAUCAGCAAUCUCACAGCAUUCAUCACCAUCCCUACCUUCUUCAACAACACAGCUAUCAUCAUCAUCUUUAAUACUAUCACCUAGACAAAACUCAUCAUCUUCAACAUCCUCAGCAGCAACUUCAUCAGUCCCACGACUGUCAUCAUCAUCUUCUGCAACAUUAUCAUCUAGACCUUCUUCACCAACAUUACAAUCACCUUUAUCAUCAACACCACCAUCUUCAAUACUAUCAACUUCUCCAUCUUCAUCAUCCUCAGUCUCAUCCUCAUCAGUCCCACUAUCAUCGUCAACCCAAUUAAAACAGACCUCAUCAUCAGUAACCUCUACAUCAUUGUCCUCAUCAUUACCAUCAUCAGCAAAUUCACAGCGCUCAUCAUCAUCCCCACCAUCUUCACCAACAACGUUAACAUCAUCAUCAACAAUAACAUCUUCAAUUCUAUCAACAACAGAAUCCUCAUCCUCUUCACCAUCCUCAACGUUAUACUCAUCAUUCCCACUAUUUUCAUCAUCACCACCACCACAACCAUUUUCAUCAUACUUCUCUUCUUCAAGUUCACCUCAUCAAUUCUCACCAUCUUCACCACUACCCUCAUCAUCUUCAACAUCAACACCAGCAAUAAUUCCACCUACUUCAUCAUUACUAACAUUCACAUCACCUUCAUCAACACUGUCAUCAUCAGCAGCCUCAUCACCAAUGUCAACUUCAUCAUUUUCAACAACCUUAUUAUCAGCCUUUCCACAAUUUCCAACAUCUCAGCAAUCUUCAACACCAACCCCACCAUCAUCACAAACACCAUCCUCACCAACUUCAGCACCAUCACCAUCAUCAUCCUCACUUUCAGUAACACCAAUACAAACAUCAUCACUGACAACAGCACCAUCUUCAUUACCAAAUUCACCAUCCCCAACAUUGUCUUCAUCAAUAACCUCACCACCAUUAUUACCACCAUCAUCCUCUUUUUCUCCAGCAAUCUCUUUGACUUCAAUGACUACAUCAUCAUCUUCAUCAUCCUCAACAUCAUUACCAACCAUCCCAUUAUAUCAAUCAUCCUCACUGCUAUCACCACUGUCAUCAUCACCAAACUCUCCAUCAUUUAAACCAUCCUCACCAUCAACACCCUUUCUGGAUAAGAAGAAAGUGACCACAGGCCUGCGUGUGUAUGUGCACUCCAAGGCAAAUAUGCAAGCAACACUGAAGGCUGUGCAGGAUUUUCUUCUUCACAUGGAAUCCGUCAUGAGGAGACAACAAGCUGGAGACUACAGGCUACGAGUUUUACAUGGCACAGUUAUGAAAAAAUAAACGUGAAAUGACACCUCACUGAACAUGACAUCCACAGCACAAUAGCUGCUCUAUGUAAAUAUAAUUUUUCUGAAUAUUCUGUGUUUUACAGAAACCUCAUUUUCUGAGUAUGUUACUAAAUGGAAAUGUGCUUUUUCACUAGGUGGCACUACAGCAUAAAACAUAAGUAAAUAGCAUGUCACUGGAACAGAUGUAGGCUUUUUGUACAAACACUGUAUUUUGUCAAACAUUUCAUGGAUAAAAUCAGAUUAAAAAUGUCCAAGAAGGAUAAAAACAUAAUCAGACUUUACAGCACAUAUUCUCAAAAAUGUAUAGCUCGCACAAAUAUCGAUUUAAUUAUGCUGGUAAACCAUGUUAAUUGUUUUUGGGGGGUUUUUUGUCUUUACUUCCAAAGUGUUUUUUUUUUUUUCUUUUUUUUUUCUUUUGGUCAAACAAAUUUUGUUGUUUUCCGAUGCUUUUUUGAAUGUGGUGAGUCUCAGAUUUUGUGUGGAUAUUUUGCAUUUACAUUUUAGAAACACGUUUGUUUUAAUUUAGUUUGCUAAAAUUUAAAUCUAAGUGUUCUCUGAGUUUUAUCUCUUCAUCUACUUGCGUGCUUUGUACGUAGAAAAUAUUUGGCAUUAUAUACAAAUCAUUUUUGUGGGUGCAUUCUUUGUAGCAAAAUCUUUUUCCGGCAAUCCACUCAAAUAAUUUUCUUUUGAAGAACAUGACUUUCAACCUUGAUGUCAUGCGUCAUAGCAGAAAAUGUGUGUUAGGUUGCCAGUAAGAGGAAGCAAUCUUAAAAAAUAAUAAUAAUAAAUGUGCG